UAAUCCCAGAACAAUGCCUUAAACAGACCU
rnacentral:piRNA from 1 species